rnacentral:rRNA from 1 species
UACGGAGGAUGCGAGCGUUAUCCGGAAUCACUGGGUUUAAAGGGUGCGUAGGCGGGAAAAUAAGUCAGAGGUGAAAUCUGGUCGCUUAACGAUCAAAUUGCCUUUGAAACUGUUUUUCUUGAAAUAUGAUGAGGUUGGCAGAAUGUGACAUGUAGCGGUGAAAUGCAUAGAUAUGUCAUAGAAUACCAAUUGCGAAGGCA